UUCUCACCGCAUACAGCCUCCAAGCUUGCCGUGGACCCAAGCUCAUUUCAGACACGUUCUUGCAGCAAAGAUCUUGAGAGGGCCUGUGAAAGAAACAACAUCAUGAAAUCUGAUCAAUUGUUCUUCACCAUUGUCAAGGACGGACACUGGGCAGUUGUGGUUGCAAACUUGAUGCACAAACAAUUCAACGUCUUUGACUCGAGGGGUGAUGACCCUGACUAUGUCAGCAUCCUUGAGAAGCCAUGUUGCAAU